GUUCAAUCCUUUUUUUAUUUUACUUGAUAAGUAUUUCUUAUUGUAAUUCUAUGUGGCUCCACCUAAUGUUAAAUAAAUAUGUUUGACAACUCAGAUAUUGGGGAAUCAGUUCUUGAAGAGUGAAAGUACCCCUUUUAUUUUUUUAAAUUAAAUUAUGAAAGUUUAUGUGGAUUGAUUUAUGUGAAGGAAGAGUUUUCUUGCAGUUGGGGUAGUGGAAAGAUUCAGUUUAAGAGUUGCUUUCUCUCCCUGGUUUUCCUAUUAGAAAGAAAGUGUAAAGGAACUUUCUCGCAAGCAAAACUCAAUUCCUGGCAGUCGGCAUUGACAAACCCCUAUACCAGCGGCUUCAUGGCUUUUCUCUGGUAUUUGAGGACCUUUCUACAGGUUAAAAAGCAAGCUCACUCUCAAAUUCCUAUGAUAAAAGUGGUAGUCUUUUCUUGAAUUUCAGUUUUUUUUCUUGCUUUAUAGUUUAUAAUUUUUUUUAGCAAUAUAUGAUGGGAAUCGUUCUGGUUAUCUGCCUUUUGAAGAGUCACACCCAUGUCAUUAGAUAAGAAGGUGUCCUCAUUUAUUGCUGGUCAUUCCAAAAUGCAAUCUGUAUUAUAUAGGAGUAUUUCCCUUGACAGAGAAUGUUGAGAUAAGUGAAUAUUAUUGGCAAAAAGUCUAAGAAUGAGGAAUUGAUUUGAUUGCAGAUACAUUAAGCUGAAUUUACAUGUGCACUGUGGUUUUCCUCUAAUGCAAAAAAACUGAUCAGAAGAAUCUUGAAUUCCAAUCCACAGACUGUAGGUAUAUCUCCCUCUCCAAGACAAAGGAAGAAAUAAAGCAGAAAAGCUACCUGGUGUAAUUUUGUUUACAGACAAUAGAUGUGUUGAGUGGUUCUUUAUCUGCACUUGCCUUUACCUUCUCAUUCAUUACCAAAAUUUACUGGGAAAUUCAUGGAAUUUAUCAUUUGAUGACAUCGCAUAUCUGCAGUAGAAAGCUGUAGUUUUCUUACUUUCUGUCGUGAAGCUGUACUUAAUAUACGACCAUUUGACAUAAUCUUAUUUGGCGUGUAUAACAUUUCUGCUAACAUUGUAUCUGUAUGCAAGUAGUUAAGGAAAAUAAUCAAAAUUAAAAUUUAAUAGUUGAAUAAAUUUGAAUUUUUGAAAGUUAUGAAGCUUGUAUAUAAUUAUAGUUGUUCCUGGAAUAGUGUCAAACAUUUAUGGAUUUUCCCAUAUGGGAAGAGUUUCAUACAACUUGGGAUAGAGAGACUAGAGAGUAGUUCCUUUUCUUGAAUUAGUGUUACUGCUGAUUCUGCUUUAGUUAGUUGUAUUUGUGUUAGUUUGAUAUAACUUAAGCAUUUGAUAAUGAUUAUAUUCUUCUGAUUUGACCAAGCUUUUUUGACAAGCUACUUGCAAAAGGAAGCAACUUAUACAAUGAACCGAGGAUAAUUGUUCAAUGAGCACUCUAUUUAUCAUUAGUUGUGUCAUUAGAUAGCUUGUAAUAGACUUACAUUCAUCACUUUAGCUAGCCAUUAUUCUGAAACAGAAGAGUUCAUGCUUCAUAUCAAAGGUGGAAUUACUUCUGGAUAGUGGCUGUUCUGAAAUUGUGCUCGGCUGAUUAAUUGGCUAUCACUUAUUGAAAAAGAUUGAGUAUGAUCAAAGCUACAUGAUAAUCACAAAGUGAUUAGAAACAUGCACAAUUCUAUGUGCAAUUUCCUUUCAACAGAUUAUAUACGCUUAAGGUAUUUAUGGAAGAAGAUUUUGACGAUGCAGCAUGGAGGUAAGAGAUUGAGACUGUUAAAAGAACUAUUGAAUUAUAGUAACAGACUACUGCAAGGGGAUUGAUUAUUUAGCAUGAUUGGGUAAUAUGACUCUGUAGAUGGCUGAAAAAAUGUAUAAUGCACAUCUGUUUUGUCUUAAAAUCAAAAAAUGAGUGUCGGUAUGCACAGAUGUAAUUUACUGAUAUAACUUCACCUUAUCCUGUUAUGCGGAAAAUGGAUGGUUGAAGGUGCGACUUAUUUGUAUUUUCAUUGGAAUUGACAUUGUGAAGUUUGUUGAUGUCGUAUUAAUGUUUUAUGGAAUUCACUUCGGUCUUUGAAUGUGAAAGCCUAACUUAGGGGAAUUUCCAUUCAAUUUGAAAAGGAGAAGGAAAGCAAGGCCUUCCAGGCUUCCAUGUUGCACUUGAGCAUGGGAAGACGGAAUUGAUUGUUUCAAGGUCUGUUGUUCUAUAAGUAACACAUCUUGUGGAAUAGAAUCACAUCCUAUUCAUUAUUUUCUCCAAUAGAGUUUGAAUUCUGACUGAGAUUGUAGCAAUGACUCUUUUCUGAGUGAAGUAUUGUUAGCUACUAAAUGCAGUAUUGAUUCUUGAUAAUGUAGCAUAGGAUAAACUAUGAAUACUUUAAGGAUAGCAACUGUAUGUGCUUUACAAGGAGAUUUUCUAUAUUGCCUUCUCAAUUUCUAUACGAUUAGAUUUGAUUGCCUCCUUA